CCUACGAGAGGCAGCAGUGAGGAAUAUUGGUCAAUGGACGCAAGUCUGAACCAGCCAUGUCGCGUGCAGGAAGACGGCUCUAUGAGUUGUAAACUGCUUUUGUACGAGGGUAAACGCAGCUACGUGUAUCUGUCUGAAAGUAUCGUACGAAUAAGGAUCGGCUAACUCUGUGCCAGCAGCCGCGGUAAUACGGAGGAUUCAAGCGUUAUCCGGAUUUAUUGGGUUUAAAGGGUGCGUAGGCGGUCGGAUAAGUUAGAUGUGAAAUCCUGAGGCUCAACUUCGGAAUUGCCUCUGAUACUGUUCGUCUAGAGAGUAGUUGCGGUAGGCGGAAUGUAUGGUGUAGCGGUGAAAUGCUUAGAGAUCAUACAGAACUCCGAUUGCGAAGGCAGCUUACCAGGCUACUUCUGACGUUGAGGCACGAAAGCGUGGGGAGCAAACAGGAUUAGAUACCCGAGUAGUC
rnacentral:rRNA from 1 species